UGGCCCCAUGAUUCCUCAGUAGAGGUGAGAUC
rnacentral:piRNA from 1 species